rnacentral:rRNA from 1 species
AACUUGUACCAAACCUCCUUGUCAAAGCCUGAUCUUGUCAGAUCUCAGAAGCUAAUCAGGGCUGGGCCUGGUUAGUACUUGGUAGUAUCAUUGU